rnacentral:tRNA from 2 species
UAAUUUAUAUGUGAUUAGUUAAAUUUAUAUUUA